GCACAGAUGUCCGAGUUGGUUAAGGAGUCAGACUUAAGUUCUGAUGGGCCACGCCCGCCUGGGUUCGAGUCCCAGUCUGUGCA